UAAACAACACCCACCAGUGUAGGCAUACAAUACUUCCCACCAAAUAAAAAUAAAAAUUACAAAUUCAACAAACUAAAGUACUUUGCAGUAAGAAAUUGACCCUAGGUCUCUAGCUAAUAACUCAUUUUUUUAUUGAAAACAUCUCAACCAAAUCUUCAGCUACAAGCACCACCAGUCCUGCUAUUAAACUCCGGUAUUAGUUCCAGUUGGAUGUGUUCCAACUGUACCUUCAGUGACAUGCCCACCAGCUGGUGCACCAGUUGAUAUUAUCAAAUUUGAUAUCA
rnacentral:lncRNA from 1 species